CAGUAGCCGCGGUAAUACGUAGGGUGCGAGCGUUAAUCGGAAUUACUGGGCGUAAAGCGUGCGCAGGCGGUUAUAUAAGACAGAUGUGAAAUCCCCGGGCUCAACCUGGGACCUGCAUUUGUGACUGUAUAGCUAGAGUACGGUAGAGGGGGAUGGAAUUCCGCGUGUAGCAGUGAAAUGCGUAGAUAUGCGGAGGAACACCGAUGGCGAAGGCAAUCCCCCGGACCUGUACUGACGCUCAUGCACGAAAGCGUGGGGAGCAAACAGGAUUAGAGACCCCCGUAGUCCCUGUCUCUUAUAA
rnacentral:rRNA from 1 species